GCGCUCUGCACCAGAGCCGGAACUGGUGCGUGAGUGGUGGUGGUUUUCUCAGGACCCUUUUUGGCUGGAGACCUGGCUCUUCCCUAUCUCCUGCGGUGCCCUUUAUAGGCGAUCACAGGGAAGGACCACCCCUUGGUGAUCUCGGACCUCAACAGAGUCUCAAAAAUCAUUUCAAUGUCCCCUCUCACGUGCUCGGAAAGACCAUGUCUUCCCGGCUGUGCAAAGAACUGCGGCGAAAGUACAACGUCCGCUCCUUUCCCAUCUGCAAGGACGACGAGGUCCAGAUAUGAAGAAACUGAUGCUCAAGCUAAAUAAUGAGUUGAGGAUGACAUUGAACCUCUGAUCUUCCUGAGUGCUGGCCUGAGAACACAGGCACGUGCUCCUGUUCUAGGCUUGUGCAGUGCGAGGCCUGUGCAUACAAGCACAUUCUCCACCACUGACUCUACUCCCAGCCACCGGUGCUUAUCACCAGGCUGGAACCAGCCAGACAGGAAACAAAUCUUCAACACAAAGCCACGUCUGGUCAAGUCGGGAAAGAGAAAGGCCAAUGUAGGGAGCUCACGAGGACGGAGGAGUGAGGUGAGCUGUCAGGCAGCCAGAGCUAACUGCAGAGGCCUGCUCUUGUGCGGCGCCUUUAAAACUUUCAGAGCGUGUCUACUUCAUCGUCCACCUGUUCUCUACUGACCUGUCCCUCUGUCAAUCUCCUUUUGUAGUUUUGAUAAUUUAUGAAUAAAAAUUGGAACCAUUUCUUAA